UCACCAUUAGAUGUAAUUAGUUAUGUCACGCUUAGAUUGAUGGCUAGGAGCUGGAAAGAAUUUCGGUCUGGGAUGGACUCGCGGCCUAUCAGCUAGUUGGUGAGGUAAUGGCUCACCAAGGCGACGACGGGUAGCCGGCCUGAGAGGGUGACCGGCCACACUGGGACUGAGACACGGCCCAGACUCCUACGGGAGGCAGCAGUGGGGAAUAUUGCACAAUGGGCGCAAGCCUGAUGCAGCAACGCCGCGUGAGGGACGACGGCCUUCGGGUUGUAAACCUCUUUUAGUAGGGAAGAAGCGAAACUGACGGUACCUGCAGAAAAAGCACCGGCUAACUACGUGCCAGCAGCCGCGGUAAUACGUAGGGUGCAAGCGUUAUCCGGAAUUAUUGGGCGUAAAGAGCUCGUAGGCGGUUUGUCGCGUCUGCUGUGAAAACUGGAGGCUCAACCUCCAGCCUGCAGUGGGUACGGGCAGACUAGAGUGCGGUAGGGGAGAUUGGAAUUCCUGGUGUAGCGGUGGAAUGCACAGAUAUCAGGAGGAACACCGAUGGCGAAGGCAGAUCUCUGGGCCGUAACUGACGCUGAGGAGCGAAAGCAUGGGGAGCGAACAGGAUUAGACACCCUGGUAGUCCAUGCCGUAAACGUUGGGAACUAGAUGUAGGGACCAUUCCACGGUUUCUGUGUCGCAGCUAACGCAUUAAGUUCCCCGCCUGGGGAGUACGGCCGCAAGGCUAAAACUCAAAGGAAUUGACGGGGGCCCGCACAAGCGGCGGAGCAUGCGGAUUAAUUCGAUGCAACGCGAAGAACCUUACCAAGGCUUGACAUAUACCGGAAAAGUUCAGAAAUGUUCUCCCCGCAAGGUCGGUAUACAGGUGGUGCAUGGUUGUCGUCAGCUCGUGUCGUGAGAUGUUGGGUUAAGUCCCGCAACGAGCGCAACCCUCGUUCUAUGUUGCCAGCACGUAAUGGUGGGAACUCAUAGGAGACUGCCGGGGUCAACUCGGAGGAAGGUGGGGAUGACGUCAAAUCAUCAUGCCCCUUAUGUCUUGGGCUUCACGCAUGCUACAAUGGCCGGUACAAAGGGCUGCAAUACCGCAAGGUGGAGCGAAUCCCAAAAAGCCGGUCUCAGUUCGGAUUGAGGUCUGCAACUCGACCUCAUGAAGUCGGAGUCGCUAGUAAUCGCAGAUCAGCAACGCUGCGGUGAAUACGUUCCCGGGCCUUGUACACACCGCCCGUC
rnacentral:rRNA from 1 species